AUGAACGCUAGCUACAGGCUUAACACAUGCAAGUCGAGGGGCAGCAUGGUCUUAGCUUGCUAAGACUGAUGGCGACCGGCGCACGGGUGAGUAACACGUAUCCAACCUGCCGUCUACUCUUGGACAGCCUUCUGAAAGGAAGAUUAAUACAAGAUGGCAUCAUGAGUCCGCAUGUUCACAUGAUUAAAGGUAUUCCGGUAGACGAUGGGGAUGCGUUCCAUUAGAUAGUAGGCGGGGUAACGGCCCACCUAGUCUUCGAUGGAUAGGGGUUCUGAGAGGAAGGUCCCCCACAUUGGAACUGAGACACGGUCCAAACUCCUACGGGAGGCAGCAGUGAGGAAUAUUGGUCAAUGGGCGAGAGCCUGAACCAGCCAAGUAGCGUGAAGGAUGACUGCCCUAUGGGUUGUAAACUUCUUUUAUAAAGGAAUAAAGUCGGGUAUGGAUACCCGUUUGCAUGUACUUUAUGAAUAAGGAUCGGCUAACUCCGUGCCAGCAGCCGCGGUAAUACGGAGGAUCCGAGCGUUAUCCGGAUUUAUUGGGUUUAAAGGGAGCGUAGAUGGAUGUUUAAGUCAGUUGUGAAAGUUUGCGGCUCAACCGUAAAAUUGCAGUUGAUACUGGAUAUCUUGAGUGCAGUUGAGGCAGGCGGAAUUCGUGGUGUAGCGGUGAAAUGCUUAGAUAUCACGAAGAACUCCGAUUGCGAAGGCAGCCUGCUAAGCUGCAACUGACAUUGAGGCUCGAAAGUGUGGGUAUCAAACAGGAUUAGAUACCCUGGUAGUCCACACGGUAAACGAUGAAUACUCGCUGUUUGCGAUAUACGGCAAGCGGCCAAGCGAAAGCGUUAAGUAUUCCACCUGGGGAGUACGCCGGCAACAGUGAAACUCAAAGGAAUUGACGGGGGCCCGCACAAGCGGAGGAACAUGUGGUUUAAUUCGAUGAUACGCGAGGAACCUUACCCGGGCUUAAAUUGCAGAUGAAUUACGGUGAAAGCCGUAAGCCGCAAGGCAUCUGUGAAGGUGCUGCAUGGUUGUCGUCAGCUCGUGCCGUGAGGUGUCGGCUUAAGUGCCAUAACGAGCGCAACCCUUGUUGUCAGUUACUAACAGGUUCCGCUGAGGACUCUGACAAGACUGCCAUCGUAAGAUGUGAGGAAGGUGGGGAUGACGUCAAAUCAGCACGGCCCUUACGUCCGGGGCUACACACGUGUUACAAUGGGGGGUACAGAGGGCCGCUACCACGCGAGUGGAUGCCAAUCCCCAAAACCUCUCUCAGUUCGGACUGGAGUCUGCAACCCGACUCCACGAAGCUGGAUUCGCUAGUAAUCGCGCAUCAGCCACGGCGCGGUGAAUACGUUCCCGGGCCUUGUACACACCGCCCGUCAAGCCAUGGGAGCCGGGGGUACCUGAAGUGCGUAACCGCGAGGAGCGCCCUAGGGUAAAACUGGUGACUGGGGCU
rnacentral:rRNA from 1 species